CUGAGAGGGCGACCGGCCACACUGGGACUGAGACACGGCCCAGACUCCUACGGGAGGCAGCAGUGGGGAAUAUUGCACAAUGGGCGGAAGCCUGAUGCAGCGACGCCGCGUGAGGGAUGACGGCCUUCGGGUUGUAAACCUCUUUCAGCAGGGACGAAGCGCAAGUGACGGUACCUGCAGAAGAAGCGCCGGCCAACUACGUGCCAGCAGCCGCGGUAAGACGUAGGGCGCGAGCGUUGUCCGGAUUUAUUGGGCGUAAAGAGCUCGUAGGCGGCUUGUCGCGUCGACCGUGAAAACUUGGGGCUCAACCCCAAGCCUGCGGUCGAUACGGGCAGGCUAGAGUUCGGUAGGGGAGACUGGAAUUCCUGGUGUAGCGGUGAAAUGCGCAGAUAUCAGGAGGAACACCGGUGGCGAAGGCGGGUCUCUGGGCCGAUACUGACGCUGAGGAGCGAAAGCGUGGGGAGCGAACAGGAUUAGAUACCCUGGUAGUCCACGCUGUAAACGUUGGGCGCUAGGUGUGGGGGGCCUCUCCGGUUCUCUGUGCCGCAGCUAACGCAUUAAGCG
rnacentral:rRNA from 1 species